rfam:Gossypium raimondii chromosome 11, whole genome shotgun sequence.
AGUCCAUGGUAUGGGCACUUCCUUAGCGUCAUCUUGAAAUGCUCUCACACCUUGUAAAGGGUUUCAAUUUCAUAUUGUUUAAAAUUAGUUAUUUCUCGCUGAAGUU